rnacentral:rRNA from 1 species
GCCGCGUGCAGGAAGACGGCCCUCUGGGUUGUAAACUGCUUUUAUCUGGGAAGAAAAAGUCCAUGCGUGGAAAAUUGCCGGUACCAGAUGAAUAAGCACCGGCUAACUCCGUGCCAGCAGCCGCGGUAAUACGGAGGGUGCAAGCGUUGUCCGGAUUUAUUGGGUUUAAAGGGUGCGUAGGCGGCUGAAUAAGUCAGCGGUGAAAGACUUCGGCUUAACCGGAGCAGUGCCGUUGAUACUGUUUAGCUUGAGUGUUGGAGGGGUACAUGGAAUUGAUGGUGUAGCGGUGAAAUGCAUAGAUACCAUCAGGAACACCGAUAGCGAAGGCAUUGUACUGGCCAACAACUGACGCUGAGGCACGAAAGUGUGGGGAUCGAACAGGAUUAGAUACCCUGGUAGUCCACACCGUAAACGAUGAUUACUCGCUGUUAUGGUGUAUGCUGUAGCGGCCAAGCGAAAGCGUUAAGUAAUCCACCUGGGGAGUACGCCGGCAACGGUG